rnacentral:rRNA from 1 species
GAUUAACGCUGGCGGCGUGCCUAACACAUGCAAGUCGAACGAGGUAGCAAUACCUAGUGGCAGACGGGUGAGUAACGCGUGGUCAACCUACCGUUGAGUGGGGGAUAACUAGCCGAAGGUUAGCUAAUACCGCAUACGUCUCCGAGGGGCAUCCCUUGGCGAUAAAAGGAAGCAAUCCGCUCGAUGACGGGACCGCGUCCCAUUAGCUAGAUGGUGGGGUAACGGCCUACCAUGGCACCGAUGGGUAGCUGGUUUGAGAGAGCGACCAGCCACACUGGGGACUGAGAAACGGCCCAGACUCCUACGGGAGGCAGCAGUGAGGAAUUUUCCGCAAUGGGCGCAAGCCUGACGGAGCGACGCCGCGUGUGGGAAGAAGGCCUUCGGUCGU